rnacentral:rRNA from 1 species
GACGUAGGGCGCGAGCGUUGUCCGGAUUUAUUGGGCGUAAAGAGCUCGUAGGCGGCUUGUCGCGUCGACUGUGAAAUCCCGCGGCUCAACCGCGGGUCUGCAGUCGAUACGGGCAGGCUAGAGUUCGGUAGGGGAGACUGGAAUUCCUGGUGUAGCGGUGAAAUGCGCAGAUAUCAGGAGGAACACCGGUGGCGAAGGCGGCCUACUGGGCCAGCACUGACGCUGAGGCGCGAAAGCUCGGGGAGCGAACGGG